UAGGAUUACAGGCGUGAGCCACCACGCCUGGCCUGGUGUCUUUUUUUUUUUUUUUUUUUAAGACCAUAAGACAUUAUUUUGUCUGGGUUAUCACUGAGGCAUAGACUUUGAGGGCUGGAAAGCAUCUUGGGGAUUGGGAUGUAGCCUUCCUCCCAGCUGGUCAGCUACCCCACAACCCCCCAUUUGCAUACCUCACUGACUACUAGGAGCUUACUUCUCUCUGAAGGAGGCUGUUCCUUUUUUGGGCCUUCCUAUCCCCCUGUGGAGCAGGCCUGAUUGUCCUCCUGGCCUUCUCUUCCUCUUCCCUGCCUACCCACUCUCCUUUCUAGGCCUGCCUUCAACCACAGGCUCCCCACCCCCUGCAGUUUCUUCCCUUUUGGUGACUCUCCACUGACUGCCCAGGCACAGUGGCUACUGGGGUGUGCUGGGAGCAGGUGGCGUUGACAGGCCUGGCUCUGGGCUGCUCUCUCUAGGUUACCCUGACCACAUGGUGUUUUCCGAGUUCCGCCGCCGCUUUGAUGUCCUGGCCCCGCACCUGACCAAGAAACACGGGCGUAACUACAUCGUGGUGGAUGAAAGGCGGGCAGUGGAGGAGCUGCUGGAGUGCUUGGAUCUGGAGAAGAGCAGCUGCUGCAUGGGCCUGAGCCGGGUGUUCUUCCGGGCGGGCACCUUGGCACGGCUGGAGGAGCAGCGGGAUGAACAAACCAGCAGGAACCUAACCCUGUUCCAAGCAGCCUGCAGGGGCUACCUGGCCCGCCAGCACUUCAAGAAGAGAAAGAUCCAGGACCUGGCCAUUCGCUGUGUACAGAAGAACAUCAAGAAGAACAAAGGGGUGAAGGACUGGCCUUGGUGGAAGCUUUUUACCACAGUGAGGCCCCUCAUCGAAGUACAGCUGUCAGAGGAGCAGAUCCGGAACAAAGACGAGGAGAUCCAGCAGCUGCGGAGCAAGCUCGAGAAGGUGGAGAAGGAGAGGAACGAGCUGCGGCUCAACAGUGAC
rnacentral:sRNA from 1 species